GCUAGCGGGCUCGGAAAGCCCUUCCUCUCUGGAGCGGAAGCGGAGAAGCUGGGGCGCGCACUCCCUGAGCUAGGGUAGCCGGGGUGACCCGAGGCCACGGAAAGGGGCCCGCAGGGAGAAACGCGCCGGCGCUCGCGUGACCUCCUGCCAUUAGAGCACUUUCGCAGGAGCCGGAGCGAAAGGGACCAGUUUAGUUAGCAGUUCACCUUCACGUUGUAUUCUCGAUUCGUACCGAGUAGGCACUUGGUAAAUGCUAAGUGAAUGUUGUAAUAGCAUUCGUUAGCGAUGCCUUUUACUUGUGUAUGGUAAAAACCUGCAGCUGUAGAAAGCCUUCCUUUGCCAAGCACUGAUCCCAGCAUUUUACAUCUGGUAACUAAAUCUAUUGUCUCAAUAACCUUUGAGUGAGGACAACAGUGCCUGUGGGCCAAAUUUUGGAGGCUACAGUUUGAUGCCUCCCACAAAGUUCGCUAAGAGUUAGACAAGAAGACACAUAUAUUAUGUGAGGACCACUCAGACCCCCAGAACCGGCAUGAAUGUUACUUGGAACUGAAGACAUUUGAGAGCCAACAGAUGCAGAAAGAUGCCUUUUCAAAGUCUCCCAUAUGUGACUAACAGCAGAAAUUUCUGGGAGGGAAGCUGCCAUAAAUCUUCUCUCAAGGGGAGUUUUAGUGACCAGAAAAAAAGACAAAGACCUCUUGCACCUGCAAAAACAAACAUUCUUAUCUCCCAUUUGUUCCCCUAGAAACCUAUUUGUUCUUCCCAUAGAAGCCUUUUUGCUAAAACAAACAUUCUUAGCUCCCAUUUGUUUCCCUAAAGAUCGAUUUGUUCUUCUCACAGACCUGUCCUUUUCUCCUAUUAAAUGGUAUAUAUAAAGUAGAUUUAGAGGUUCAAGGAAAAAAAAAGUUGUAUAAAUGGCAAUUAAUAGCCUCCUAGAGUAACAUUUUUUUCCUGUGAACUCCUGCAUGCAUAUCUGAAUAAAAGUCUGUCUUUUGUUUGUU